rnacentral:rRNA from 1 species
GCAUCGGCUAACGUCCGUGCCAGCAGCCGCGGUAAUACGGAGGAUGCAAGCGUUAGUCCGGAAUGAUUGGGCGUAAAGCGUUCCGUAGGUGGCUGUGUGUGUCUAUUGUUAAAGAGUUUGGCUCAACCAAAUAAGGGCGGUAGAAACUACACAGCUAGAGUGCGUUCGGGGCAGAGGGAAUUCCUGGUGUAGCGGUGGAAAUGCGUAGAGAUCAGGAAGAACACCGGUGGCGAAAGCGCUCUGCUAGGCCGCAACUGACACUGAGGGACGAAAGCUAGGGGAGCGAAUGGGAUUAGAUACCCCAGUAGUCCUAGCCGUAAACGAUGGAUACUAGGCGUUGAGAGUAUCGACCCUCUCAGUGCCGUAGCUAACGCGUUAAGUAUCCCGCCUGGGGAGUACGCACGCAAGUGUGAAACUCAAAGGAAUUGACGGGGGCCCGCACAAGCGGUGGAGUAUGUGGUUUAAUUCGAUGCAACGCGAAGAACCUUACCAGGGCUUGACAUGUCUGGAACUCUGGGGAAACUCGGAGUUGCCUUCGGGAGCCAGAACACAGGUGGUGCAUGGGCUGUCGUCAGCUCGUGUCGUGAGAUGUUGGGUUAAGUCCCGCAACGAGCGCAACCCUCGUACUUAAGUUGCCAGUCAUUUCGGAUGGGCACUCUACAGGAGACUGCCGGUGACAAACCGGAGGAAGGUGGGGAAUGACGUCAAGUCAGCAUGCCCCUUACGUCCUGGGCUACACACGUACUACAAUGCUACGGACAAAGGG